rnacentral:rRNA from 1 species
GAUGAACGCUAGCGGCGUGCUUAACACAUGCAAGUCGAGCGAUGAAGUUCCUUCGGGAAUGGAUUAGCGGCGGACGGGUGAGUAACACGUGGGUAACCUGCCUCAUAGAGGGGAAUAGCCUUUCGAAAGGAAGAUUAAUACCGCAUAAGAUUGUAGUAUCGCAUGAUACAGCAAUUAAAGGAGUAAUCCGCUAUGAGAUGGACCCGCGUCGCAUUAGCUAGUUGGUGAGGUAACGGCUCACCAAGGCGACGAUGCGUAGCCGACCUGAGAGGGUGAUCGGCCACAUUGGGACUGAGACACGGCCCAGACUCCUACGGGAGGCAGCAGUGGGGAAUAUUGCACAAUGGGGGAAACCCUGAUGCAGCAACGCCGCGUGAGUGAUGACGGUCUUCGGAUUGUAAAACUCUGUCUUCAGGGACGAUAAUGACGGUACCUGAGGAGGAGGCCACGGCUAACUACGUGCCAGCCGCCGCCGUAA